rnacentral:lncRNA from 1 species
GUUUAUAUGGAAUUCUUGGAUGUGAGGCGUGUAUGAAACUUGCAAUAUUGAACUUUUAGACUUUGACGGUUGAAGUUCUCAAUCAUUUGCUGCAAACCCUUAGUCAUUCGUCGUGCCUGUCAUCGCUUUUUAAGUCAGCUGAAGGAAACUCUGAGGUACAGGAAGCUCGCCAAACAGGCGAGAUUUAUAUGCGUUACACCAGGGGGCCCUGAGACACGUGUGUACGAUCUUACGUAACGGCAGCAUUUCGUUUCCAAGUCCAGGGUAAUGACGGAGCUGCCAAGCGAGCAAAGAGGUCUCUGCUGCCUUACAGAGAAAUUCUCAGCGGUACGACGCCAGACUUCCGGAACUUGGGCAGGGACGUAAAACCGGAAGAGAGGGUCCCCGACAUCACAAACAGCUCGGACGACUACGAGGAAGCGUUGAUGAAGCCCGUCGAACUCGGACCCCUGAGACAACGUGAGCGAAAACCAUGGGGCCAGGGGAGGCCCAAGUCAAGACCAAAACAGUGAUGACACGACAAGACCGGGACUAAAUUUCCGGGCGUCCUGGAAUAGCGAGCGUCAGAGACACCGUUGAAUGAAUAAAUAAAUACUUUAUUAGGUUAGGAGUGCUCCUUCACCUAAAUGUAGAAGAGUUAACACAAUAAAGGGGAUCAGAGUGAGAUCUCUGGAAUAAGCCUUCGCAGGUGUAUCCAAAUUAAAAAACAUAGUGGCACCUUCACGCAAAGGGCGAACUAUGCGCUGGCACCAACAGCAAAGUUGUUUAGCGUUACG